rnacentral:rRNA from 1 species
UGCCAGCAGCCGCGGUAAUACGGGGGGUGCAAGCGUUAAUCGGAAUUACUGGGCGUAAAGCGCGCGUAGGCGGUUUGUUAAGUCAGAUGUGAAAGCCCUGGGCUCAACCUGGGAAUUGCAUUUGAUACUGGCAGACUAGAGUAUGGUAGAGGGAAGUGGAAUUCCGGGUGUAGCGGUGAAAUGCGUAGAUAUCCGGAGGAACAUCAGUGGCGAAGGCGACUUCCUGGACCAAUACUGACGCUGAGGUGCCAAAGCGCCGGCAUCUGACCGGAUCAGAUA